UUGUCUCAAGGCCAUUGCUCCCAGGUGCUCAGACAGGCCAUGGGAACAGUCAGGGUUUGGAAGAGGAGGGAGGGGACAAAGGAGAGGAAGAAGACAAGCCCUUGCCCAGUCUGGUCCCUAAUCUCAUGAAAUGGCCAGAAAAUGUACCCAGAU